CCUACGGGAGGCAGCAGUGGGGAAUAUUGCACAAUGGGGGAAACCCUGAUGCAGCGACGCCGCGUGAGUGAAGAAGUAUCUCGGUACGUAAAGCUCUAUCAGCAGGGAAGUAAAUGACGGUACCUGACUCAGAAGCCCCGUCUAACUACGUGCCAGCAGCCGCGGUAAUACGGAGGGGGCAAGCGUUAUCCGGAUUUACUGGGUGUAAAGGGAGCGUAGACGGGAGCAUAAGUCUGGAGUGAAAUUCGGGGGCUUAACCGCGGAACUGCUUUGGAAACUGGGCGGCUGGAGUGCAGUAGGGGUAAGCGGAAUUCGUGGUGUAGCGGUGAAAUGCGUAGAUAUUAGGAGGAACACCGAUGGCGAAGGCAGCUUACUAAACUGUAACUGACAUUGAGGCUCGAAAGCGUGGGGAGCAAACAGGAUUAGAUACCCGUGUAGUC
rnacentral:rRNA from 1 species